rnacentral:rRNA from 1 species
GGAGUUAGCCGGUGCUUCUUCUGCGAGUAACGUCACAGAUGUAAGGUAUUAACUUACACCCUUUCCUCCUCGCUGAAAGUGCUUUACAACCCGAAGGCCUUCUUCACACACGCGGCAUGGCUGCAUCAGGGUUUCCCCCAUUGUGCAAUAUUCCCCACUGCUGCCUCCCGUAGGAGUCUGGGCCGUGUCUCAGUCCCAGUGUGGCUGAUCAUCCUCUCAGACCAGCUAGGGAUCGUCGCCUAGGUGAGCCUUUACCUCACCUACUAGCUAAUCCCACCUGGGCUUAUCCAUCAGCGCAAGGCCCGAAGGUCCCCUGCUUUCCCCCGUAGGGCCGUAUGCGGUAUUAGCAGUCGUUUCCAACUGUUAUCCCCACAAAUGGGCAAAUUCCCAGGCAUUACUCACCCGUCCGCCGCUCGUCAUCUUCAAAGCAAGCUUUUGAAAUGUUACCGCUCGACUUGCAUGUGUUAGGCCUGCCGCCAGCGUUCAAUCUGAACCAAGAUCAAAUUCUGA